AGUGAGGAAUAUUGGACAAUGGGCGCAAGCCUGAUCCAGCCAUGCCGCGUGAGUGAUGAAGGCCUUAGGGUUGUAAAGCUCUUUCAGUAGGGAAGAUAAUGACGGUACCUACAGAAGAAGCCCCAACUAACUUCGUGCCAGCAGCCGCGGUAAUACGAAGGGGGCUAGCGUUGUUCGGAUUUACUGAGCGUAAAGCGCACGUAGGCGGUUUGUUAAGUCAGGGGUGAAAUCCCGGAGCUCAACUCCGGAACUGCCUUUGAUACUGGCAAGCUAGAGUCCGGAAGAGGUAAGUGGAACUCCUAGUGUAGAGGUGGAAUUCGUAGAUAUUAGGAAGAACACCAGUGGCGAAGGCGGCUUACUGGUCCGGAACUGACGCUGAGGUGCGAAAGCGUGGGGAGCAAA
rnacentral:rRNA from 1 species